CUUGGUGAUUCAUAAUAACUUAACGAAUCGCAUGAGGCUUGUGCCGGCGAUGGUUCAUUCAAAUUUCUGCCCUAUCAACUUUCGAUGGUAGAGUAGUGGUCUACCAUGGUUUCAACGGGUAACGGGGAAUUAGGGUUCUAUUCCGGAGAGGGAGCCUGAGAAACGGUACCACAUCCAAGGAAGGCAGCAGGCGCGCAAAUUACCCAAUCCCGACACGGGGAGGUAGUGACAAUAAAUACUGAUACAGGGCUCUUUUGGGUCUUGUAAUUGGAAUGAGUACAAUUUAAAUCCCUUAACGAGGAACAAUUGGAGGGCAAGUCUGGUGCCAGCAGCCGCGGUAAUUCCAGCUCCAAUAGCGUAUAUUAAAGUUGUUGCAGUUAAAAAGCUCGUAGUUGAACCUUGGGCCUGGCUGGCCGGUCCGCUCACGGUGAACUGGUCCGGCCGGGCCUUUCCUUCUGGGGAAGCGCAUGCCCUUCACUGGGUGUGUCGGGGAAACAGGACUUUUACUUUGAAAAAAAUUAGAGUUGUUCAAAGCAGCUAUGUCGAAUACAUUA
rnacentral:rRNA from 1 species